GAGAUUCACAGAAACAAACUUGUUGCCGACUCCGGGAUUGGCCAUCUCAGGGUCCCACCCAGAUUAUCAACCCGUUUGGCAGCCUCGGAUCCCGCCAACGCAUCAAAUAAACACAAAAAACCCUAACCUUAAUAUUAUUCCGCUUUCAAGCAAAAAAAUUGCUCCUUUCUCUAUUGUAACAGAUCUAACUGUAAAUGAAGAUCAACAGAAACUCCCUCUAACCCUCCGGGGAGAAAGAUAGAGGCGGCGAUAAUGACGUGCGCCGCGGAGAAAGGAGUACGAAAGAAACGUCAGGGAGAAGCCCUACUGAAAACACAGAGAGAGACAGAGGAGGGGGAGGGAGAGCGAAACACGGAGGGCAGCUAAAGCACGAGAGCCAAAUAGGCGAUG
rnacentral:misc_RNA from 1 species